rnacentral:rRNA from 1 species
AAAUGAAUUGACGGGGACCCACACAAGCGGUGGAGCAUGGGGUUUAAUUCGAUGAUAAGCGGAGCACCUCACCCAGGUUUGACAUCCCGAGAAUCCCGCGGAAACGUGGGAGUGCCGCAAGGAACUCGGUGACAGGUGGUGCACGGUCGUCGUCAGCUCGUGCCUUGAGGUGUACUGUUAAGUCAGCAAACGAGCGCAACCCUCAUCCUAUGUUGUUUUUUCAUAGGAGACUGCCGCCUCCAAGGCGGAGGAAGGUGGGGAUGACGUCAGAUCUGCGUGUCCCUUAUGCCUGGGGCUACACCCAUGCUACAAUGGCCGGUACAGAGGGCAGCGAACCCGCGAGGGAGAGCCAAUCCCACAAAACCGGUCUCAGUUCGGAUUGGAGUCUGCAACUCGACUCCAUGAAGCUGGAAUCGCUAGUAACCGUGAAUCAGCUACGUCACGGUGAAUACGUUCCUGGGUCUUGUACACACCGCCCGU